rnacentral:lncRNA from 10 species
UCCUGGUUGGGCAGGGCAACAGUUAUCUGUGGCUCCAGGCAUCCACACACUAUUGUUAGUGUAGAUUUCUGCAGAAGCAUCUAUCCAGGUGAGAGGUUGAAUAAGUGGAGGAAAAGGCACAUAAGCCCAAUAAGAAUAUUUAUGUGUAGCAGGUAAAUCAGUGUGAGAGGAAACUGGUGAGACAGAAAGUAUAAGGAGGAGAAUCAUUAAAUAAAACUUAUUGUAAGUGAGAUUCUGAAGAAGGAAGAGAAGAACAGUGUUAAGUAUCCUGGCAAAGGAGCAUUAGGGUUACAGAUAGAAUUGAAGUUGCUCGUCAGCUGAUUGAAGAUAAGGAGAUUGGCCUGGAUUAUCCAGGUAGGCUCAAUGUAAUCAGGAAGGGCCUUUAAAGUGAGAGAGGGAGGCAGAAGAGGAAGUCAGAGCGAUGUGCUGUGAAAUCUACUACCGUUUGCUGGUUUUGAAAAUGGAGAAAAAGAGUGAGGAACUGAGAAACAUGGAUGGCCUUGGGAACGUGGAAAAGGUGAAUAAUUCAACAGACUGUGGUACAUCUACACCAUUAAUUACUAUGCAGCAGUAAAAACAGAGUGGACUACGACUACACACAGAAGCUUGGGUGGAUCUCGGGAAUUAUGCUGAAUGAAAAAAAGCCAGUCUCAAAAUAUUACAUGCUGUAUGAUUCCAUUUAUAUAACAUUUUUGAAAUAAAAAAAUUAUGAAAAAAAAUAAAAUAAA